GGCAUAAUAUGUAUUGCAGAAACACUUCGAGAGGCACGUAUUACGUAAAGGUGCAUGCUGUUAGUGUUGAACGUCGGCAGGUAGAAAGAAAAAGGGUGCCAGUCAAUAAUGAAAAAAGAGGAAACCUCUCACUAUCCGCUACACUAUUGUCGAAAUCCUUUUUAUUACGUGUAGUGUAUCGCAACGAACAAGGUGCUCCCGUAGGUUAUUUGGUGUGUGUAACAGCAACGGCAGCUACAGUGUGAUAUUUCAGUCAGCUGUGUGCAUGUUGGUGAGAAAUUAAAGGAACGGGGACGGGUGGGUUAUUGUGAUGAGAUGGACCCUCCUUUUCGUAUUCGUGUAUGAUCUGCGUAUCUGUUGUGUCUCGAUGUGCUUUGGUUGUACUACGCUAGACGAUCGUCACCAUCCUCAUCAACAUCAUGUUGAGGCAAACGUCCUAGCCGACGCCCCGGUUCCGCAACGGCAACUGCGGCCGCUCGCCCUACCUCCUUCGUGGGUACCGCCGCCGGCGCAGGUACAUGACCUAGUCGAGCCGCUCCCUGAGCUCCGCGCGCGGGUCGAGGUCGCGGGCGCGUACGUCCUCGAGCAAGAGCCGGACCUGCUGGCGCGUGGCCGCGCGCCGGAGGACACGGCGGCGACGGUGCCGCGUCAAGGCCCGCGCGUCGCGACGGCGGAGGCGGAGGUCGAGCAGGUGGACGUCGUCAAACGCGCGCGCGCUGGCGACGCGCCUAUCGGCCAAGCUGAGGAACGCGAACGCGAAGGAGAGGAGGCAGUCGCGGCGUCCGCCGCGGGCACAGCGGAGGCUCGGCCGGCUGCUGCUGCACUGCCAUCUGCGGCACGGCCCUGGCCCUCUCCGGUAAAGGAAUGUGGUGAACUAAUGAAAUGAAACAAAGAAUGUGGUUGUUUAUAAAUUUUGUUAUACGUUAUUCGUCCACUUGAGAGACCAAAUUGGCCCCAACCAACUAAUACUCUUCUGCAUCUUGGUCAUCUCCUUCUGCUGCCUCUUCCUGACCUGCUCCUGCCACCUACAAUAGUAUUUUCGUCGCCGUAUGUUCGUCUCGACCAGUUCUCUUUUUAAGCCGUCUCAGAGGGGAGUUUUUGGUUCCAAAGAAUGACACUUUAGCCUGUCUCAAAGAGGACUGGUUCCCUCUUAAGAGUCCCUUUUAUAAACUCGUCCCACAACGGGAACUAACGUUCCAAAAGCCUGUCCUUUAAAGCCGUCUCACUGCGGGGCUUGUUCCCCCAAAGACUGACCUUUAAAGUCGUCUCACAGCGGUCGAUCCAAAGCAGCGUUCCUAAGGUUGUCUCAUCAUGAUUCGAUCUACCAUCUAGAACAUACUAUUCUAUGAAAGUGUGUCUUAGAGGUUCCGUGUCCCUUGAUUUCCACCAUCUACGGUUCGUUUCUCCCAAGUUUGAACUUUCCACCCUCGUCCCACCAACACCAGUUGUCCUUCAUUCUCGUCGUCGCACCGCAACGACGACGCUCUUUUCUUUCUUAGGUUCAGGAAGGUCUCUCCCCUCUUCUCUCUCUCCCUUUUCCCUUAACCCCGAACCUGCUCCCUGCGUCAAAUAUCCGCCCCUCCUCCCCGCAAACGAAUCCUCAAUUCACCCGCCCACCCCUUCUUGGUUUCGGUUUCCGCACCGCGCCACGCCACGGCACGCGACCACCACUCUUUUCUCCGUCGUUUUCGUCUCCCUCUGUCGCUCUCCGUUUCUUGCCUCCUCGGAAGGCGACGACUUUUGGGUUUCCGUUAGUUUCUCAUUUAAUCUCGUAGAGUUUCCUGCACAAACCAACGAACGUACUCCGGGUCGGACCGGGCCCGCCCUUCUUAAACCGGGCAAACCAAAGGACGUAAGUAACACGCCGGGCGUAGCGUGCUUCGAAUUUCGUGCAGGUCCGGUCCAGGUCCCCGUUGCGUGUUUAGCCGCCAUCGAGCGUUCGGACCGGUCCCGCUCCGUCGCCUCCCGCUGCGCGAAGAGGGGAGCACGCUCGUCCCCUCUACCGCGCUCGAGCGGGCGCAGCGGCUUUUUAGCCGCCCUCCUAAAGCCGAGUGGAGGGCGGCGAGGUGGGGGAUAAAUCGGGGAGGGAGUGGCGGGGUUGAGGGCGGUGGUAAGAAGGAGGCAAGCGCGAAAGGGCGGCUGCGCGUAGCCGUGGCUGCUCGUCCAUUCGCCGCGUAGAAGUAGCCGGCCAACAGGUGCCGCAACCUCGAGGAAGUGACCGGCCGCAAGUAGAAGGUGGUGGCAGGGGGGAGCAGGAGUUCGACGUCGGUACCGGAGACUGUACUGGUGCGUCUGCGUUCUAGAAUCAGACCGGGAACAGCACAGGCUGUCGGUCAAACGAGGUAGCAAACAGCUCCUGAGCGUCGGAUACAGGCUCUACCGUGGACUAAGUCUCCACAAGCUCAGACUAAGGGAGAUACACAGUCAUCACGAGCAACUCGGUUGAUUAUGACGACGACGACGGCGACGUGAGUUCGAUCGUCGUCGUUUCCGUUUCUUCCUAUCAUCCAGCUUGUUGUACUUCACCGUCGGCAAGUACAGGUGCAAGCACGACUUGUUCUACACACUUGAGUAGAGAUCACCUCAAUCCUGACUGUUCCCGAAGUUCCUCCACGUGAACUUGUGGCAACGCUUCGUCCACAAGCUCAAGACACCCGUUCUCCACAGACGGUGGGUCCACAUGUUGGUGGACUCCUUCAUCUCUUCAGCUAUCUAGGUUCACAGGUUCGACUCUCUGGAAUCGCCGCAGAGUACCCUACUCUUGUGAACGAGUUAUCAAGACCUCCGUCUCGUGAUGCGGCCGGUACAGCGCCUGGUGGGUUCCCUGCGACUCAAGGAGUUGUGUGGGUAAGUCUUGAUGUUGGUCUACGUCGUGUAGAAGAGGAAGCCCGACCGUUGACCCUUCGUACGGUACCCGAGCCCCCUCGGAGAACCAAGAGGGUACGGACUGAAGGGACCCUGGGACCUGCAGCUCUAGGAACUACCGGGACUGUUCGGGCGACGCUUCGGGAAGCUGUUCGGUAAACUGGGGCAACUAUCUUUCUCCUUCUCUCCUCCGGACUACCUCCUCCUCUAGUUACAGAAGGCGUCGUGCUGACUCCGCCACUUCCUCCACCGUUGUCGGUAGUCCCUCACGUUCGGGGAGCUGCAGGUGGGAUUGGACAUACCGCGACAGUACUGGGUCCCACCGAAGUCGCUGCUCCGAGAGUACCGUCGAGAGUCGGUGGACGAACUGUUGUUCCGGGUACCACAACCCAAGCAACGGUACCAGCUGCGAGUGUCCUACUACACCGAGUCCUCGACCGACCCGUUCGUGAUGAUGAUCUCAUCACGACGGACACUCGCACGUACUAGGCGCUGCCGCUACCACCACCGCUGCUGCUGCUACUACUGCUACUGCUGCAUGUAAAACACAUCGAUCCCGAGUUUUUGAUAAACUACCAGACAUAUAAAACCACUCCACCAUAUAUGAUUGGGGAGUGCCACUGCCACUUGAACGCCACCAUCCUGCUGUGGGAGAAAACCUACACCACCAUCCAAUUGUGGUUCCAUCACGAUCCUUCUUGAACGAUACGGCAUACUAGUACGUACGAAAUGAAGAGAAGACGAGGUAACAACAAACACACGAUGAAACGAACGAUGAACACGAGGUAACUAAACGACGAAGUUGAGAACGAGAACACGUAACGAUCCCGUUCACCAUACAGCACAAGUAACCACUCCAAGGUCCCCAAAUAUCAAGUACCUUUCUUCGGUUACGUGUUCACUGUAGCAUAUCGUUGUAGUUGAUAUCUCCCAAGUUCUGAUUCGUCCGUUGUCUUGUUCGAAUGAGGCGGACCCACGCUUUCGUGCCUCCGUCGUCACAGCUGUCACGGUUCCAACCUCGACAGUUUCACCUUCGACGAUUCCACCUAGCAGUCAAGCCGGACUUCGACUUCUUGAAGUAGUAGAAGCGGGUCAAGCAGUGGUAACGACACAACACCGCAACCACACGAUCCACACUAGUAACACCCAUUCGAGUGGUUGAUCCCAUAUUCCAUUCGUGUUGUACAUGUGCAUACGUUGGUUUGAAGCACAAGUACACGGCGAUCCCGGUUACGUCGGUUGGUUUGUUUCACGUGAACGUAUAAUGGAUUACGUCCCUGAUCCCUACGUCCGUUGGUUAGUUCAACGUAUACCGCAUAAUCCCGGACAAAAAGGAGUUGGUCCGACCCAACUCUUCCCGUACGUUACGCUGAUGACAAGGUUUGACCUUGGUUUGUGCGGGGUUGACCUACCACAGUAUGGCUGUGGGUUUGUGGGUCUGCCCGGACAGACCAGUCACAGGCUUGCCUCACCGCCACGGUUACCACAAGACACACCAGCCAACUGAUGUGUACUAAUCCGUUUUUGUCAUCCUUAGCUGGUUUUUGAUUAAUCUUAAUUUGGUUUAUGUUGAUGAACUGUAGUG
rnacentral:rRNA from 1 species